CGCGUAGGCGGCUGGAUAAGUCAGAUGUGAAAGUCCACGGCUCAACUGUGGAAGUGCAUUUGAAACUGUCCGGCUUGAGUAUCGGAGGGGAGUGUGGAAUUCCCGGUGUAGAGGUGAAAUUCGUAGAGAUCGGGAGGAACACCGGUGGCGAAGGCGACGCUCUGGACGAAUACUGACGCUGAGGCGCGAAAGCGUGGGGAGCAAACA
rnacentral:rRNA from 1 species